AACGAACGCUGGCGGCAUGCCUAACACAUGCAAGUCGAACGAGACCUUCGGGUCUAGUGGCGCACGGGUGCGUAACGCGUGGGAACCUGCCCUUAGGUUCGGAAUAACUCCCCGAAAGGGGUGCUAAUACCGGAUAAUGUCUUCGGACCAAAGAUUUAUCGCCUUUGGAUGGGCCCGCGUUGGAUUAGCUAGUUGGUAGGGUAAAAGCCUACCAAGGCGACGAUCCAUAGCUGGUCUGAGAGGAUGAUCAGCCACACUGGGACUGAGACACGGCCCAGACUCCUACGGGAGGCAGCAGUGGGGAAUAUUGGACGAUGGGCGAAAGCCUAAUCCAGCAGUGCCGCGUGAGUGAUGAAGGCCUUAGGGUUGUAAAGCUCUUUUACCCGGGAUGAUAAUGACAGUACCGGGAGAAUAAGCUCCGGCUAACUCCGUG
rnacentral:rRNA from 1 species